rnacentral:snRNA from 1 species
GGACGUGAGGGUGAUCUGGCUGUGACAUCUGUCACCUCAUUGAUCGCCAGGAUUGAUCUGGGUGAUCUGGCUGGCUAGGUUGGUGUCCCCCUUCCUCCACCAGUGCUCCAUGUGCAUUUCUCCUGAAGUUGUAUACCUCUUUGAAGAGGAUGAUGGCCCCUGAUAGAGGAGGACCAUCCUCUGGUAAAGGGUGUGACUAGCUGCGCUCUCCUGCUAGGACCUCCAGACGAGCUCCCAAGAGGUCUCUGCUAAUUGACAUACAACUAAUUCUGCCUAGUCCAUU